GAAGAUUUUCACGACCAAGUAUUUCUCCAGAGCAACUUAAAGAGCAUCUUUCAGGUUGAAUUUUCCACAAUAUGACGUUUUGAAAAAGUCCGAGAGACACUGUGGCAUAAAUAAAAGCUUCUUAAAAUUUCA